rnacentral:rRNA from 1 species
UGGGGAAUUGAUGACAAUGGGCGACAGCUGCAUCCAGCAUGCCGCGUGUGUGAAGAAGGCCUUCGGGUUGUAAAGCACUUUUGUCCGGAAAGAAAUCCUUGGCUCUAAUACAGUCGGGGGAUGACGGUACCGGAAGAAUAAGCACCGGCUAACUACGUGCCAGCAGCCGCGGUAAUACGUAGGGUGCAAGCGUUAAUCGGAAUUACUGGGCGUAAAGCGUGCGCAGGCGGUUUGCUAAGACCGAUGUGAAAUCCCCGGGCUCAACCUGGGAACUGCAUUGGUGACUGGCAGGCUAGAGUAUGGCAGAGGGGGGUAGAAUUCCACGUGUAGCAGUGAAAUGCGUAGAGAUGUGGAGGAAUACCGAUGGCGAAGGCAGCCCCUGGGCCAAUACUGACGCUCAUGCACGAAAGCGUGGGGAGCAAACAGGAUUAGAUACCCUGGUAGUCCAGCGCCCUAAACGAUGUCAACUAGUUGUUGGGGACUUCAUUUCCUUAGUAACGUAGCUAACGCGUGAAGUUGACCGCCUGGGGAGUACGGUCGCAAGAUUAAAACUCAAAGAAAUUGACGGGGUCAUAGCUGUUUCCU